CCUAAGGAGAAAAACAAAACAAAACCCUAGGGAUAACAGCACAAUCCCAUUCAAGAGUCCAUAUCGACAAUUAGGGUUUACGACCUCGAUGUUGGAUCAGGACAUCCCAAUGGUGUAGCAGCUAUUAAAAGUUCGUUUGUUCAACGAUUAAAGUCCUACGUGAUCUGAGUUCAGACCAGAGUAAUCCAGGUCGGU
rnacentral:ncRNA from 1 species